rnacentral:rRNA from 1 species
AACGCUGGCGGCGUGCUUAACACAUGCAAGUCGAACGCGAAAGGGACUUCGGUCCUGAGUAAAGUGGCGCACGGGUGAGUAACGCGUAGAUAACCUGUCUUCAUGUCUGGAAUAAUACGCCGAAAGGGGUACUAAUACCGGAUAUUCUUGCUUUUCAUAAGUUAUGCAAGCAAAGGUGGCCUCUGCAUAUGCUACUGCAUGAAGAGGGGUCUGCGUACCAUUAGCUAGUAGGUGGGGUAAUGGCCUACCUAGGCGACGAUGGUUAACGGGUCUGAGAGGAUGAUCCGCCACACUGGCACUGGAACACGGGCCAGACUCCUACGGGAGGCAGCAGUGAGGAAUAUUGCGCAAUGGGGGAAACCCUGACGCAGCGACGCCGCGUGAGUGAGGAAAGGCCUUCGGGUCGUAAAGCUCUGUCAAGAGGAAAGAAGUGUACAAUGGCUAAUACCUGUUGUAUUUGACGGUACCUCUAAAGGAAGCACCGGCUAACUCCGUGCCAGCAGCAGC